rnacentral:rRNA from 1 species
GAUGAACGCUGGCGGCGUGCCUAAUACAUGCAAGUCGAGCGAACAGACGAGGCGCUUGCUCCUCUGACGUUAGCGGCGGACGGGUGAGUAACACGUGUAUAACCUACCUAUAAGACUGAGAUAACUUCGGGAAACCGGAUCUAAUACCGGAUAAUAUAUUGAACCGCAUGGUUCAAUAGUGAAAGACGGUUUUGCUGUCACUUAUAGAUGGAUCCGCGCCGCUUUAGCUAGUUGGUAAGGUAACGGCUUACCAAGGCAACGAUGCGUAGCCGACCUGAGAGGGUGAUCGGCCACACUGGAACUGAGACACGGUCCAGACUCCUACGGGAGGCAGCAGUAGGGAAUCUUCCGCAGUGGGCGAAAGCCUGACGGAGCAACGCCGCGUGAGUGAUGAAGGUCUUCGGAUCGUAAAACUCUGUUAUUAGGGAAGAACAAAUGUGUAAGUAAAUAUGCACGUCUUGACGGUACCUAAUCAGAAAGCCACGGCUAACUACGUG